AUGGCUGAAGCUACUGCUCUUCGCUUUGGUCUGAAUCUGGCCCAGUCAUUCGGAUGCUCCAGGUUAAUCGUAAAUUCUGAUAAUUCUGAUGUGAUCGCUGCAAUGCAAGAUGGUGGUACUUUCUCAGGAUUGGCUGCUGCUAUUUUCGACGAUUGUUAUCACAUGGCUCGCGAUUUAUCACAAGUCCAUUAGGAGCACUAUCAUAGAGAAGGAAAUUUUGUAGCGCAUGAACUAGCGAGGAUUGCUAGAUUUUCUCCACCUGGUACUUGGUUUGAUGAGGCACCUAGUGCCAUUGCCUCUAUGCUUGUAAAUGAUGCUACUUUGAUUACCACUUAA
rnacentral:rRNA from 1 species